UCAUGCUUAUAUUGCGAUGAAAGUCAUCUUUGGCUUAUGUGCAUAGAUGGACUGUUGAUUGUUAUGAUUAUGACCAAGGAUCAUUCGGUAUAAUCAUGACAUGUAAUGUUUUAAAUGAUAUGGUAAAAGUCCUCAUUGACCCGUACUGCAUUGAUGGACAGUUAUUGGUAUAAUUAUAACCAGGGAUUAUUCGGUAUAAUCAUGACCAUUGAUGAUUACAUGAAUAUCCUUGACCCGUAGUGCAGGGAUGAUUCGAUGAUGUGGUUUAUUUAUUAAGCUGAGUCUCAGCGAUAAAGUUGAUGAAAAACUUUUUAAAUCAUAGAAGAUAGUAGAUUUUAUGUUCUACUUGACUCUUCUAAUGGAUUGCUUGUUCCGCUGCAGUUAAACUUGUUGUUUUUUUUAUUCUAUCAGUUUAACAUUGUUAAAG
rnacentral:lncRNA from 1 species